rnacentral:lncRNA from 1 species
GCCGACAUCUAGUAAAGUAAGUGCGGCAGGUGAUCAGGGCUUGGAAACGGAGGCAGCGUCUUUUACGGGCGCGUCGGCCAGGCCGUUCCCCAUGGUGGCUGACUGCACGGUCAGGACGGACAUGCUGGGGGAGGAGGGGCCAUCGGCGUUGGAAUUAGGUAGGAGUGGGUGAGUGUGGCUGCCGUUGUUGAUGUUGGAGGCGGCGACGGCGGCAGCAGCCACCAUGGGGUUCCUGGAGUGGCAGGUAGUGGUGGAGAUGGCAGUGGCGAGGGAGAUGGGCAUAAGGCAUAAGCCUUUGCCUUGAAGAUACUGCAUGGCGGAACCCAUGUCCUCCUCCAUGAGUUUGGCCACCUGGUGCUCCGUCACUGUGAGGCUGUCGUUUGAUG